CGUUUUCUCUCUCUACUCUACCUCUUCAUUUUUCUAUUUUCUCUCUCUACUUUUCUCUUUUAUAUCUUCUCAUCAGCCAAACACUUUUUCUCUCUCCUCCCUUAUUAUUAUUAUUAUAAUAGGCAAAGGCAGAGGCUAAGCCAACUGCUCUGCUCGCUAUUCUAAGCCCAAAGACAGCAUCUCGUUGCUUAGAUUUUCUAUGUCCCUUUAAAAUCUGAAACCAUUAUUAACCAAUGGACCAACACCAAGAAUCUAAACAGAACAGAAAACGUCCCCUCGACGACCCAGACUGUGACUCGCCCGAGUCUAAACUCAUCCGGGUUGCUUCCAAAUGUAAUUCGACUGAUCUCGGUGAAACUCACCUGGAUUCGGACGAUUCCGGUUUGAAAUCGUGUAAUAAUGGUGUUACUCUUGUUGACUCUGGUGUUAACUCGUCGGAUGCUAAGUGGAUCCAAGACGAUUUGCUUAACAUUCUUGAUGAGUCGGAUGAGUCAACUAUUCAAGGCCUUGACUCGGUGAUUAAAAGCUUUGAAGAAGAAAUCCUCGUUCCGGUUCCCGGUCCGGUUAUGGCGUAUGUAGCGGCUGG
rnacentral:misc_RNA from 1 species